AUUGAACGCUGGCGGCCGGCCUAACACAUUCAAGUCGAUCGAUUGGCGUCCGUGAGUGUAAUGUCUGGCAAACUGCCUGAUGGAGUGGGAUAACUACUGGAAACGGUCGCUAAUACCGCAUACCAUCGGAUGUGCCCAUAUGGGAUUAUCUAGUAGGUGGGGUAAAGGCUCACCUAGGCGACGAUCCCUAGCUGGUCUGAGAGGAUGACCAGCCACACGGGAACUGAGACACGGUCCAGACUCCGAAGGGAGGCAGCAGGGGGGAAUAUGGCACAAUGGGAGCAAGCCUGAUGCAGCCAUGCCGCGUGUAUGAAGAAGGCCUUCGGGUUGUAAAGUACUUUCAGCGGGGAGGCGUUACCCGCAGAAGAAGCACCGGCUAACUCCGUGCCAGCAGCCGCGGUAAUAC
rnacentral:rRNA from 1 species